AUUGAACGCUGGCGGAAUGCUUUACACAUGCAAGUCGAACGGCAGCACGGACUUCGGUCUGGUGGCGAGUGGCGAACGGGUGAGUAAUACAUCGGAACGUGCCCAGUCGUGGGGGAUAACGUAGCGGAAGCUACGCUAAUACCGCAUACGAUCUAAGGAUGAAAGCGGGGGACCGUAAGGCCUCGCGCGAUUGGAGCGGCCGAUGGCAGAUUAGGUAGUUGGUGGGGUAAAGGCUCACCAAGCCGACGAUCUGUAGCUGGUCUGAGAGGACGACCAGCGACACUGGGACUGAGACACGGCCCAGACUCCUACGGGAGGCAGCAGUGGGGAAUUUUGGACAAGGGGCGCAAGCCUGAUUCAGCCAUUCCGCGUGCAGGAUGAAGGCCCUCGGGUUGUAAACUGCUUUUGUACGGAACGAAAAGGCUCUGGUUAAUACCUGGGGCUCAUGACGGUACCGUAAGAAUAAGCACCGGCUAACUACGUGCCAGCAGCCGCAGUAA
rnacentral:rRNA from 1 species